ACGCUGAUUAAUGGGUAGCAAUAUUCGUUAGUUGGAGUGGCGUAAGGGUGCUUAACACGUGGGUAAUUUGCCGCAAAACCCGGAAUAACCCCGAGAAAUCGGGGCUAAUACCGGAUGUGACCUCUGGGGGGCAUCCCUUGGAGUUGAAAGCUGGGGACUGUUAAAGGCCUGGCAUUUUGCGAUAAGCCCGCGGCCUAUCAGCUAGUUGGUGAGGUAAUGGCUCACCAAGGCUUGGACGGGUAGCUGGUCUGAGAGGACGACCAGCCACACUGGAACUGAGACACGGUCCAGACACCUACGGGUGGCAGCAGUCGAGAAUUUUUCUCAAUGGGGGAAACCCUGAAGGAGCGACGCCGCGUGGGGGAUGAAUGGCUUCGGCCCGUAAACCCCUGUCAUUCGGGAUCAAACGUUAUUCAUGAAUAAUGGGUAACCUGAUUGUACCGAAAGAGGAAGGGACGGCUAACUCUGUGCCAGCAGCCGCGGUAAUACAGAGGUCCCAAGCGUUGUUCGGAUUUACUGGGCGUAAAGGGUGCGUAGGCGGUGGGGUAAGUUUGAGGUGAAAGCUCCGGGCUCAACCCGGAAAUGCCUUGAAUACUAUCCCGCUAGAGGUUUGGAGGGGAGACUGGAAUUCUCGGUGUAGCAGUGAAAUGCGUACAUCUCGAAGAGGAAAACCCAUGUGCGAAGGCUGGGUCCC
rnacentral:rRNA from 1 species